AUGAUGAGGUACGUGGAGCUGUGCGUGGAUCUGAGGAAGGGCAGGUUCGCCAAGGACGGCCUCAUCCAGUACUCCAGAAUCGUCUGCCAGCAGCAGCUCAACAACGUGUCGUCUCUGGAGGAGGUCGUCAAACACUUCAUGCAGCUGUCCAGCAAGAAGGCCGAGGAAGCCGCCAUGGAUCACCAGGCACAGGCUCCGGAUGUCCAUGACCUGGAAGCACCGGAGGACCUGAUGCUCAGCUACGUUAGCGGGAAGGACCGGUCUGACUCUGACACCCCGUGGCUCAAGUUCCUGUGGGAGACGUACAGGACGGUGCUGGAGGUGCUGAGGAACAACUCCAAGCUCGAAGCGCUGUAUGCCAUGGUUGCGCACAAGGCCUUUCAGUUCUGCAAGCAGUAUAAGAGAUCCACCGAGUUCCGUCGGCUGUGUGAGAUGGUCAGAAACCAUCUUGCAAAUCUGAACAGAUCAUAUCGAGAUCGUCCUGAUCUGACCGCCCCUGAGAGCUGUCAGCUGUACCUUGACACCAGGGUUGAGCAACUGAAGGUUGCUGCAGAGCUUUCGCUUUCCCAGGAAGCCUUCCGAUCCGUCGAGGACAUCCAUGGCUUGAUGAGCAUGGUUCAGAGGACUCCAAAACCAUCCGUCCUGGCCGUGUAUUACGCCAAGCUGACUGAGAUAUUCUGGACAUCUGAGAGUCACUACUUGUACCAUGCAUAUGCAUGGCUGGAGCUCUUCAACUUGCACAGGAGUCACAAUAAGAAUUUAACUCGGAAGGAUCUGCAGUUACUAGCGUCUUCUGCUUUGCUCGCCGCACUUUCUGUUACACCAUAUUAUGACCAUGAGUCUGGUCUAUCUCAUCUGGAGCUUGAAAACGAAAAGGAGCGCAGCUCGCGUAUGGCCAACCUUCUCAAUUUCUCCUUUGACUCCAAGCGUGAGAACAGAGAACAGGUUUCAAGAGCAUCUCUUCUUUCUGAGUUGGCUGCCAGCGGUGUGGUUUCAUGUGCUUCCCAGGAAGUGCAAGAUCUAUACAACCUUAUGGAGCAUGAGUUCCUUCCUCUGGAUCUAGCAUCAAAAGUGCAACCUCUGCUUUCCAAGAUUUCUACCGUCGGAGGAAAGCUUUCAGCUGCGCCUUCUGUUCCGGAGAUUCAGUUAUCGCAGUACCAACCUGCAUUGGAGAAGCUUACUACACUGAGGGUGCUGCAGCAGGCAUCUCGUGUUUUCCAGUCCAUGAGAAUUGAUACACUCUCUAGAAUGAUCCCCUUCUUUGAUUUCAAUGUCGUGGAGAAGAUCGCUGUUGAUGCCGUCAAGCACAAUUUUGUUGCUAUGAAAGUUGACCAUUUGUCUGGAGCUGUUCGUUUCAGCAACACAGAGAUAGAAUCUGAUGUGUUUGGUGCUAGUCACCUUAUUGGUGUCCUCGCUGAUUCCCUAAACAAAGCUGUGCAUAAGCCAUCCGAAGUCGGUGAAGACUCGAUUAGUCUUGCUGGAGUGGUGGAGAAAGAACAUCAAAGGCUUCUCGCAAGGAAAUCAUUCAUUGAAAAACGUAAGGAAGACUAUGAGCGUCAGAUAUUGGAAAAGGAAAAAGCAGAGGAGGCAAAGAGAUUGAGCAUUCAGAAGAAAUCCGCAGACGAAGAAAGGGAGAGGCUUUUGAAGGAACGGAGGCUCAGGGAGCAGCAGAGGAUCCGUCAGGAAAUAGAGGACAGAGCGCAGAGAGAAAUAGGAAAAACAGAACAAAAAGUAACAAAACAAGGCGCCAUGGAGCUUGUAUCGCGUUACCUAGCUUAUAAAAUGUCGCGUCAGGGGAUGGAGAAGAAGCUGGAGAAGCUAGCAAAGAGAAUGGAUCACUUGGAGAGGGCAAGACGGCAGGAGGAAGCGCCACUGAUCGAGGAGGCCUUCCGAAAACGCGUCGAGGAAGAGAAGCUCCUCCACGAGCAGGAGCAGCUGAGAGAGACUGAGCUCAGCGAGCAACGCCACGCGGGUGACUUGCUGGAGAAGAAGAGGCUCUCUCGAUUGUUGGACCAUAAGAAUGCUUUCCAGGAAAGAGUUGUCCAACGCCGAGAAGCCGAGUUUCUUAGCCUGACGAAAGAGAGGGAGGAAAGGAUCAACCAGUUGAUCUCGUCAAGAAAACGUGAACGGGAGACUGCUCGGAAACUGACGUAUUAUCUGAAGAUGGAGGAACGGCGGAUCCAAAGGGCACGUGAGGAAGAGGAACAGCGGAUCCAAAGGGCGCGCGAGGAAGAGGAACAGCGGAUCCAAAGGGCGCGUGAGGAAGAGGAGCAACGUGAAGAGGAAGAGAGGAAGAGGAGGGAAGAAGCUCCUCCUGCAAGCAGUAAUCAACCCUGGCGUCGUAGAUCAGGGCCACUGGCAAACUCUUCUUCGUCCGGCAGCUGGAGGCACUGA
rnacentral:rRNA from 1 species